rnacentral:rRNA from 1 species
AGACUCCUACGGGAGGCAGCAGUGGGGAAUAUUGCACAAUGGGCGCAAGCCUGAUGCAGCGACGCCGCGUGAGGGAUGACGGCCUUCGGGUUGUAAACCUCUUUCAGUAGGGAAGAAGCGAAAGUGACGGUACCUGCAGAAGAAGCACCGGCUAACUACGUGCCAGCAGCCGCGGUAAUACGUAGGGUGCGAGCGUUAUCCGGAAUUAUUGGGCGUAAAGAGCUCGUAGGCGGUUUGUCGCGUCUGUCGUGAAAGUCCGGGGCUUAACCCCGGAUCCUGCGGUGGGUACGGGCAGACUAGAGUGCAGUAGGGGAGACUGGAAUUCCUGGUGUAGCGGUGGAAUGCGCAGAUAUCAGGAGGAACACCGAUGGCGAAGGCAGGUCUCUGGGCUGUAACUGACGCUGAGGAGCGAAAGCAUGGGGAGCGAACAGGAUUAGAUACCCUGGUAGUCCAUGCCGUAAACGUUGGGCACUAGGUGUGGGGACCAUUCCACGGUUUCCGCGCCGCAGCUAACGCAUUAAGUGCCCCGCCUGGGGAGUACGGCCGCAAGGCUAAAACUCAAAGGAAUUGACGGGGGCCCGCACAAGCGGCGGAGCAUGCGGAUUAAUUCGAUGCAACGCGAAGAACCUUACCAAGGCUUGACAUGUUCUCGAUUCGCCGUAGAGAUACGGUUUUCCCCUUUGGGGCGGGUUCACAGGUGGUGCAUGGUUGUCGUCAGCUCGUGUCGUGAGAUGUUGGGGUUAAGUCCCGCAACGAGCGCAACCUUCGUUCCAUGUUGCCAGCACGUAAUGGUGGGGACUCAUGGGAGACUGCCGGGGUCAAAUUCGGAGGAAGGUGAGGACGACGUCAAAUCAUCAUGCCCCUUAUGUCUUGGGCUUCACGCAUGCUACAAUGGCCGGUACAAUGGGUUGCGAUACUGUGAGGUGGAGCUAAUCCCAAAAAGCCGGUCUCAGUUCGGAUUGGGGUCUGCAACUCGACCCCAUGAAGUCGGAGUCGCUAGUAAUCGCAGAUCAGCAACGCUGCGGUGAAUACGUUCCCGGGCCUUGUACACACCGCCCGU